UAUCAAAAACAUGUCUUUAUGAAGUUUAUGUAAAGUCUAGCCUGCCCAGUGACAUUAAAGUUUAACGGCCGCGGUAGCAUGACCGUGCUAAGGUAGCAUAAUAAUUUGUCCCUUAAUUGGGGACUGGUAUAAACGGCUGAACAAGAAAUUAACUGUCUCUACUAUAAAACUUGAAAUUAACGUUUAAGUGAAAAGGCUUAAAUGAAAUAGGGGGACGAUAAGACCCUAUAAAUCUUUAUAGCUUUGAUUAUAAGUUUUAGAGAUUAGUUAUAAGUCUAAAAUUAUUUUUUGAGCUAUUUUGUUGGGGCGACAAAAGUAUAACAAGUAACUGCUUUGGUUAAUAAAUUAAUUAUUUUUAUAAUGUUAUUUUAAAGAUCCUUCUUUGAAGAUGACAGAAUAAGUUACUUUAGGGAUAACAGCGUAAUCUUCUUUGAGAGUCCUUAUCGAAAAGAGGGGUUGCGACCUCGAUGUUGAAUUAAAAAACCUUUAUGGUGCAGCAGCUAUUAGAGGAGGUCUGUUCGACCUUUAAAUUUUUACGUGAUCUGAGUUCAGACCGGAC
rnacentral:rRNA from 1 species